GACGAACGCUGGCGGCGUGCCUAACACAUGCAAGUCGAACGGAAAGGCCCUGCUUUUGUGGGGUGCUCGAGUGGCGAACGGGUGAGUAACACGUGAGUAACCUGCCCUUGACUUUGGGAUAACUUCAGGAAACUGGGGCUAAUACCGGAUAGGAGCUCCUGCUGCAUGGUGGGGGUUGGAAAGUUUCGGCGGUUGGGGAUGGACUCGCGGCUUAUCAGCUUGUUGGUGGGGUAGUGGCUUACCAAGGCUUUGACGGGUAGCCGGCCUGAGAGGGUGACCGGCCACAUUGGGACUGAGAUACGGCCCAGACUCCUACGGGAGGCAGCAGUGGGGAAUAUUGCACAAUGGGCGGAAGCCUGAUGCAGCAACGCCGCGUGCGGGAUGACGGCCUUCGGGUUGUAAACCGCUUUCGCCUGUGACGAAGCGUGAGUGACGGUAAUGGGUAAAGAAGCACCGGCUAACUACGUGCCAGCAGCCGCGGUGAUACGUAGGGUGCGAGCGUUGUCCGGAUUUAUUGGGCGUAAAGGGCUCGUAGGUGGUUGAUCGCGUCGGAAGUGUAAUCUUGGGGCUUAACCCUGAGCGUGCUUUCGAUACGGGUUGACUUGAGGAAGGUAGGGGAGAAUGGAAUUCCUGGUGGAGCGGUGGAAUGCGCAGAUAUCAGGAGGAACACCAGUGGCGAAGGCGGUUCUCUGGGCCUUUCCUGACGCUGAGGAGCGAAAGCGUGGGGAGCGAACAGGCUUAGAUACCCUGGUAGUCCACGCUGUAAACGGUGGGUACUAGGUGUGGGGUCCAUUCCACGGGUUCCGUGCCGUAGCUAACGCUUUAAGUACCCCGCCUGGGGAGUACGGCCGCAAGGCUAAAACUCAAAGGAAUUGACGGGGCCCCGCACAAGCGGCGGAGCAUGCGGAUUAAUUCGAUGCAACGCGUAGAACCUUACCUGGGUUUGACAUGGAUCGGGAGUGCUCAGAGAUGGGUGUGCCUCUUUUGGGGUCGGUUCACAGGUGGUGCAUGGCUGUCGUCAGCUCGUGUCGUGAGAUGUUGGGUUAAGUCCCGCAACGAGCGCAACCCUUGUUCACUGUUGCCAGCACGUUAUGGUGGGGACUCAGUGGAGACCGCCGGGGUCAACUCGGAGGAAGGUGGGGAUGACGUCAAGUCAUCAUGCCCCUUAUGUCCAGGGCUUCACGCAUGCUACAAUGGCUGGUACAGAGAGUGGCGAGCCUGUGAGGGUGAGCGAAUCUCGGAAAGCCGGUCUCAGUUCGGAUUGGGGUCUGCAACUCGACCUCAUGAAGUCGGAGUCGCUAGUAAUCGCAGAUCAGCAACGCUGCGGUGAAUACGUUCCCGGGGC
rnacentral:rRNA from 1 species